GACGUAGGGGGCGAGCGUUGUCCGGAAUCAUUGGGCGUAAAGGGCUCGUAGGCGGUUCUUUAAGUCGGGUGUGAAAUCUCAGGGCUCAACUCUGAAACUGCACCCGAUACUGGAGAGCUUGAGGCAGGUAGGGGAGAUCGGAAUUCCUGGUGUAGCGGUGAAAUGCGCAGAUAUCAGGAGGAACACCGGUGGCGAAGGCGGAUCUCUGGGCCUGUUCUGACGCUGAGGAGCGAAAGCGUGGGUAGCAAACAGG
rnacentral:misc_RNA from 1 species